UCCCUGGUGGCUUAGAGGGUAAAGCGUCCGUCUGCAAUGCGGGAGAGUGGGGUUCAAUCCCUGAGUUGGGAA
rnacentral:tRNA from 1 species